AGAUAUAUGAUUUGUCAAUGCUGCAUGAAGCUGCAUUGAUCUCAAUGUAAAAUCGUUCCAUCCUCAGCAGUCGUCUAAGCAUCUUCUGAGUGUGAUCUGCACUGAUCUCCUCCAGCAGUGGUAACAUGCUACUGCACAGAUGGUCCCCAGAUCAACUGUGGUUGCAUUGAAAGGAAAAAGUGUGAACCCCCAGCCCGCUGGCCAUGUCUCUGAAGAGCACCGUGUGUCAUGAUGACCUCUUGAAUUAGAGCCAAAGCACAGUGGCUUGCUGACACACUUUACCCCCUGAUUUCACAUCGAUUCCUGUGGACACAUCCUCAUACUGUCCCUGCAGUGAUACCUGGUGCAGGCUUUGCUAUCUUCUGUCGGAGAGAUGCCCAGAUGUAAACAUCGCAGGUGGUCCAUCCUCUGAGAUGCUGGACUUCUGAAACAACACCACCAGUGUUGGGAAACCCAUAAAGGCUCACCUGAACACCUCCACCUGUGCGUUGGGGUUGACUCCAGGCAGGGUGUACGGUUUGCCGAACUGCAGUCUGAGCUGGUGUUUGCUCUGGAUCUUAGUGAUGACGCCAUCGUUGAUGGGCAG